GUGUGUGGUGUCCUACUCCGGAGAGUGGCAAUCACAUGUUCAAUCAAGUGUGAUUGAAACCUCUAAGAGUGGAAUAACACAUGA
rfam:Pongo abelii chromosome X.